UCAGGAGCGGCGGCGGGAAAAGAGGACCGUUGAAAGCGGCGGGUCGCCUCGCCCGCUGCCGCGCUAUGCCCGCCGCCGGCUCCGAGCUGCCGCGCCCGAUGUCGCCGCCCGCCGCGCAGGAGCAGGGCGCCGAGUCGCGGCCGCCGCCGCCGCACGGGGAGCUGCAGUACUUGGGGCAGAUCGAGCACAUUCUCCGCUGCGGCUUUCGGAAGGAUGACCGCACGGGCACCGGCACCCUGUCGGUGUUCGGCAUGCAGGCGCGCUACAGCCUGAGAGAUGAAUUUCCUCUGCUGACAACCAAACGUGUUUUCUGGAAGGGUGUUUUGGAGGAGUUGCUGUGGUUUAUCAAGGGAUCCACAAACGCUAAGGAGCUGUCUUCCAAGGGAGUGAAAAUCUGGGAUGCCAAUGGGUCCCGAGACUUCUUGGACAGCCUGGGAUUCUCCACCAGAGCAGAAGGGGAUUUAGGCCCAGUUUAUGGCUUUCAGUGGAGGCAUUUUGGGGCCGAAUACAAAGAGAUGGAUUCAGAUUAUUCAGAUAAAGGAGUAGAUCAACUGCAAAAAGUGAUUGACACAAUCAAAACCAACCCUGACGACAGAAGAAUCAUCCUGUGUGCUUGGAAUCCAAAAGAUGUCCCUCUCAUGGCCCUACCCCCGUGCCAUGCCCUUUGCCAGUUCUACGUGGUGAACGGUGAGCUGUCCUGCCAGCUGUACCAGAGGUCAGGAGACAUGGGCCUGGGUGUGCCCUUCAACAUCGCCAGCUACGCCCUGCUCACCUACAUGAUCGCACACAUCACGGGCCUGAAGCCAGGUGACUUUGUACACACUUUGGGAGAUGCACACAUUUACCUGAAUCACAUUGAGCCGCUGAAAAUUCAGCUUCAGCGAGAACCAAGGCCUUUCCCCAAGCUCAAAAUACUUCGAAAAGUUGAGAAAAUUGAUGACUUCAAGGCUGAAGACUUUCAGAUUGAAGGCUACAAUCCUCACCCGACCAUUAAAAUGGAAAUGGCUGUUUAGAGUGCUUUUGAAGGAGUUGUUUGAAGGAUAUUUACAGUUCCUGCCUAAAACAGAUUUAACUGAACCCUCCUAAACAAACAUACCUGUGCUGUGUUCUCUUUUGGAUGCUGCUUAGAUGGUUUAAUGUCUAGGUACCAGUACUUGAUAGAAAUUUUAACAUCUUCCUGGACUUUGAGACAGGUGGAUCUACUUUUGUUUAAAGAUUACAUAGGAGAAUGUUUUUUGCUGAAACAAUCAAGUAAUGAUGACUAAGCUGAUGCCUGAGGUUAGUAUGACUUUCAGCUGAACUUGUUCUGAUUGGUAGGAUGAAUUUUUUUUUCUAUUUUUGUAAAACCAUACCCAAGAAAUUUUAAGCCUUUUCACUUAAAGCAAAAGCUGUUAAGCAUUCAGCUCUAAUUCCCUUGAGCAGCAAGGAGCUUCUCCCAAACUUCACCAUCUGGAUACUGGUGUUUCUUUACAGACUCCUCCUUCAUUUCUGUUGAAUAACCAGCAUCCUAUCAAAGACAAAAAAUGGAAUCAUGUUAAUAACCACCUAGAACAAAAGUCAUUUAUUUUACUUAUUUCUGCUGUUCCUAGAAAUGCUUUUAAAUCUAAGUCAGAGGCAACUGAAUUAAUGUUUUAAAAAUAAGUUUGCAGGUUGUUUGAAAUGGGGGAGAGGGACGUCCUUUAUUGGCUGCUUCUCAGGAUUAGUGAACUAUUCACACCCUUUGAUAGUUCAACCUCUGUUGGUGAAAAUGAGCCCCGAUCUCUUGAAUAGACGGAUAAAUGGCGCAGACAACACAACUGCAGUCAAAACCUUUCACUAACUUGCUAGAUGGUGCCGGGGUUUUUUUUUAGUUUUGUUUUGUUUGGGGCAGGAAGGACCCAAGGAGUGCAUGUUUUCAGGUCCAGCUGGUGAGGAAAGGCUGGCGUGAGAGAAGCCUUGUCGGGGGCAUCCUGACCUUCAGGUCUGGGGAAUUUGACUAAAGAGCGAUAUGUUUCUAGAUAUUGAAAACAGACUUGAAGGAGACAAAGCUUUGUGCUCUGGGGUCUAGCUCCUGAGAAGAGUAGGGCAGGGCUGGCAGUGCCUCCUCGGGGAUGGGGGUGGGGCCUCCCUGGCCAAACUCACCUUAGGAGGCAUGUAGGAAGCCUUCUUGAUUAUCACGGGGUACUUGAAGUGCUCGUGCAGGUGGUCGACGUAUUCACACAUCCUGGGAGGAAGGAAUCGGGUUGGGGUAAAAAUGCCUUCAGUUAGAUAGUUCAUGUGGUGCUGUUAGGGCAAAGGGGCAAGCACCACUAAGAAAGGAUGGACUCUGCCAAGGCCUGGCUGAUACCAUGUAUUUCUAUGUAAGUCCCUCAGCCUCUGGACUUCAGGUUCUUCUCUGUAAGGUAAAGCAGUAUGGGGGAUUGGAUGAAAUGAACUGUGAAGUAUCUUUUAACUUAAGGUUUUGGGAACCAAAAGGCAUCAAUUUAGACUUAGACGUAUCUGGGAUUUGGGUGCCUCUAGCCAAAAGGUGAACAGAUUAAAGUCACCAAAUGAGGUCCCUUCCAGCUACACAAAUGAUUUAGAAGAGCACAGGUUUUAGGAUCAGACCAAUCUGUUCAAAUUUGGUGUCAGCCACUGUCUAGUUUUGUGACUUGGGGCAAGUGACCUAACUCUACUGCCUUACUUCAGCCAUUGGUUAAUGAACAGCUGAGAUGAGCAGGCCAUGUGUCCAGUGCUGGGGACACAAAGGAACUGGUAAGAGAGGGCCUUGUGGUUUCAAUGGCCGUAGAUACCAAGUUGUUGACUAUAAUAUGUACUGUGUAUAAUCUAUAAAGAACAGGCUACAGAUGAAGAACCAGCCGCUUGGGAGAGGACAGCGGGCCUUGAAGAAUGAAUAGGGAAGCGGUGCUCCACACACAGGGUUACAAAGCAGGUGACAGCACAUGGCAUCUCUGUCUGGUGGCUGUCCCUCCUGCAUGGUGGCAUUCCCAAACAGUGAGGUCUGCUUUCAGGGGGUGGCAUGAGGUUCUCACCCACUCAUGGGCGGGCAUAGUGCCCAGUGGGUCAGAGCUGACCCUCUUUUGUAUUCCUCAAAACUUUGCAGGACCUGUCAAGAUUGGUUGGAGCCCCUCCCUUAGUCCUGCUUUAAGGAACUGAAAUGAGGGGGCAAAAGCAGAAUAACCUAGGAGUGUUCGUUUUUCUAGUUUAAAAUAUCUCAGGUUUAAAAUACCCAGCUGCAGAAAGAACCAUUACUUUAUAGUUGAAGUCCCCGUAGACCCUCACAGGUCCCACUUCUCAAUCCUGAACUUGAUGUUCACCUUUCCCGUGCAUGUCCUCAUGCUUUCACUGUAUACUCCUAGUGAUCUUUCUGCACUAUUGCAUUUAAUUCUUGGAGGAGAGAAAGGCAUAAUAAAGUUGUAUGUCUGCAGGUGA